AGAGUGUGUAUAGGAGAUUGUGUGUGUGUGUGUGUAAAGAGGAUUCAGAGUGUAUAUAGGGUAAGGGAUAUAGCGUGUAUCUGGAGCAUAAUGUGUGUAGUGGUACAGUAUGAGGGGUGUUCUUAUCUACUGUCACAUUUUAUGUUUCUAAUUUUUUUGUCUGUUAACUUACUUAGGGUUGUUUUGUAUAUUAUACAUACGUGUGUGUGUGUGUGUGUGUGUGUGUGUGUGCUGUAUAUGUGUGAGAGUGUGUUGUAUGACUGAGGGUGAUGUGUGUGUGUGAGGGUGCGUGUGUAUCUAAGAGUGUCUGAGUCUGAGUGUGCUGUUUGUAUGAGUGUGCUGUGUGUGUCUGAGGGUGCUGUGUGAGUGAGGGUGCUGUCUGUGUCUGAGGGUUGUGUGUGAGUUAGGGUGCUGUGUGUGUCUGAGGGUGCUGUGUGAGUUAGGGUGCUGUGUGCGUGUGUGAGGGUGCUGUCUGUCUGUGUGUGUGUGUGUGUGUGUAUGUGUGUGUGUGUGGGUGCUGUCUGUGUCUGAGGGUGUUGUGUAAGUGAGGGUGCUGUCCGUGUCUGAGAGUGCUGUUUGUGUGAGUGUGCUGUGUGUGUCUGAGGGUGCUGUCUGAGAGUGCUUGUUACGAUUGCCUCCGGUCUAGCAGGAGGUUGGAUUACUUGGAUGUCCUGGUUCCCGAAGUCAGAGAGUCGAACGAGAUUCCAUUCAGUAGAAACCUGUAAAUGUAGAGUAUCCCACUAGCUGGAGCAACGCUAGGAUUCCCGGAUCCCUACAACACAAGUCGAGGCUGCGAGUUGAGGGUAAAACGAACUGGCUUUACUGGCACACAAGCAUGGCAAUUUAUGCAAGUCCCCAGGUCCAGGGACAGCCCCCCAUGGACCUG